GACGAACGCUGGCGGCGUGCCUAAUACAUGCAAGUAGAACGCUGAAGGAGGAGCUUGCUUCUCCGGAUGAGUUGCGAACGGGUGAGUAACGCGUAGGUAACCUGCCUGGUAGCGGGGGAUAACUAUUGGAAACGAUAGCUAAUACCGCAUAAGAGUAGAUGUUGCAUGACAUCUGCUUAAAAGGUGCAAUUGCAUCACUACCAGAUGGACCUGCGUUGUAUUAGCUAGUUGGUGGGGUAACGGCUCACCAAGGCGACGAUACAUAGCCGACCUGAGAGGGUGAUCGGCCACACUGGGACUGAGACACGGCCCAGACUCCUACGGGAGGCAGCAGUAGGGAAUCUUCGGCAAUGGACGGAAGUCUGACCGAGCAACGCCGCGUGAGUGAGGAAGGUUUUCGGAUCGUAAAGCUCUGUUGUAAGAGAAGAACGAGUGUGAGAGUGGAAAGUUCACACUGUGACGGUAUCUUACCAGAAAGGGACGGCUAACUACGUGCCAGCAGCCGCGGUAAUACGUAGGUCCCGAGCGUUGUCCGGAUUUAUUGGGCGUAAAGCGAGCGCAGGCGGUUAGAUAAGUCUGAAGUUAAAGGCUGUGGCUUAACCAUAGUACGCUUUGGAAACUGUUUAACUUGAGUGCAAGAGGGGAGAGUGGAAUUCCAUGUGUAGCGGUGAAAUGCGUAGAUAUAUGGAGGAACACCGGUGGCGAAAGCGGCUCUCUGGCUUGUAACUGACGCUGAGGCUCGAAAGCGUGGGGAGCAAACAGG
rnacentral:rRNA from 1 species